rnacentral:lncRNA from 10 species
CCGCUCCCGCUUCUCCCACCACACUUCCCUGCAAGCUGAGAGAAGCGGCUCUGGCCUUGGGCAGCCCAGAAAGGGGCUCCCUCAGUGCAGCGGUGGGCUGAAGGGCUCCUCAAGUGCCGCCAAAGUGGGAGCCCAGGCAGAGGAGGCGCCCAGAGCGAGCGAGGGCUGUGAGGACUGCCAGCACGCUGUCACCUCUCAGAACUAUUUACUCAGAAUGAGUGAAGAGACAGUCUUGCUCUGUUGCCCAGGCCGGAGUGGAGUGGCACAGUCAUAAUUCCCUGUACCCUUGAAAUCCUGAGCUCAAGCCAUCUCCAUACCUUAGCCUCCCAAGUGGCUACUACAGGACUGACUGAUAGUAUUUUCCUUUGGAAGAUCCUUUUAUAUUCUGUCUCUAUGAAAGAAGUGUUUUCAAUGAAAUAAGAUAUUUAUUCCAAAUCAAUCCUGCACCAGAAGCUCCAUUUCUGCAUUCGCUUCCAGAAAACACAGCAGCCGUAUGUGAAUUUGGGAGUGGUCCCACGAACCGGUUAUGAGACGAGGUUUUGGAGCUGGAUCACACCUGACACAACUGGCAUUGAAAACCUUAUUACCAAGAGCCUCUGGCACAAGGCUGCUAUGAAGAAAUACCCAAGACUGGGUACUUUCUCAACUUUCAAAUUGAGCUGUUCAGAAUGUGUGAAACAAUUUUAAGAUGAAGUCAAAGAUACUUGAAGCAGAAGCUGUAUCUGAGGAAGCUGUAUAUAAACCCAAUUUAAAGCAAGAUGAGAACUCAGCACAGGCACUGCAGCCACGGAGGUUUCCAGAUAGAAAAAUUGACACCCCUGAGAUCCCAUAACAUUUUGGGGACUCAUCUGGGAUCUGCGGAAGGAGCUUGACUCUUUUCAUUGGCAAUAAAUGGCGCCCCAACAUGGGGACUCAGAGAAGACUCAGGAGCCCCAAGCAGUUGUCCGAAAUCAGAGCUAAGGUACCAGCCAGGGUUAAUUGAAGACUCACCAAGUUCAAGCUUCUCCUUUGGUGGAACUGCUGAGAUUGAAGAACACUUGAAAAUUAUCAAGAAUGUACUGCGGAGUAUUGAAAUUGCAAGUUAUCAUCAAAGGAAGCUUACUCUUAUUUGUGGAAAACAAACACAGAAAAAAGAAGAAGGAAGGAAGGAAGGAAUCAUACCUUCCCUGUUUCAAAUAACAAGCAUCAAGCAUCGUGAUAAUGUGGACACUAAGGAGCAACAAUUUCUCUAAAGAUAAGAAUAAAGAUAGACUUUUAGACUACGAGAUGGGCCUGAAAAAAUAUCUGAUCAAGCUACUCAGUUUUACAGAUGAAGAAGGUGAAGCCUGGGAAAACCUAAAGAACCUAUAUAAGGUUCUCAGAUAGACACCAUGUUAUCUGCUUGAAUGAAGAAAAUUUGGUAACAUGUUUGCUGAUCUUAAUCUACUAUACAUUUUUUUAGCUUGUCAACUUGAACAAGUUUCUCAAUUAUUUCCUCAUCUAUUUUUUCUGAUAAACUUAACCAAAUCUUGUAAAAUGAAUGUUUUGAAAACGUAUAUCUUAAAGGAGCAUUUUCUAAUUUAAUAUUGAUGUUUUAUUAUUUAUUGAAUCAAGGAAGUUAUGCAUAUUUUGCAUAAAUAUGUGCUACCUUAUGUAUGAUAAUAUUUUUCUCCACAGUCACAUAUUAAUCUGUCCUGACAUUUUUCUAUAAUAAACAUCAUUAUCUGAGACAGAAAUGACAGGAAAAAUUUAUCCAUUUUAAUGAUAUCUAAUUAAAAUUUGUGUCUAACCUUAAUUGAAAUAUAUAUAUAUAUUUCAGUUAGUAAAAAAGGAAAGUCAAUUGAUGAUGCAUUAAGUGUCAGCAUUAUUACAUAGAGAUUGGAAGACAUUAGGUACAAAUGUGAAUCUGCAAGAGUACCAUUUGUAUAUUGCUAAUUACUUGAUACUGUGUCUUUUUAAGAAAGCUGUUACUCUUUAUUCACUCUAGAGCAUUUCAGACAAUUAAUUAGGCAUUCAUUAAUAGAUGAUUAAACAUUUUGUCUCUACAUUGCUUGAAAGGAGUUGUAAAUUACAUCUUGCCCAUGUUGCUAAUUUGCUGUCCAGCAAACAGACUUGCCUGUGGAAAUUUUGUAAAUCAAGCUUAUGAUAUAUUGGCCAUAGAUUGUUUGUCUUCCAAUUCCUCUUAGCUGUUGAUAAUGCAAAUCAAGCCACAUGAAUGAUAACCUGAUAGAAGACACUGCUUUGAAAAGCUAUACUCACAUUAAUACAAACUGUUCAGAAUUGUUAUGUGGAACAUUUCUCUCUAUAAUUGAGAAGAUAAACAUGGCAAAUAAUAUGCUGCUUCAUCAAGUUUUGCAUGUGAAUCAUUCCCAAAGUGAACUUUGAAAAGAGCUCCAUAAAUUCCAUCAGAAAACAAUGAAAUAUAAAACAUCACAGUCCUUUACCAUAGCUAAGCCAGCAAAUAAAUAUCAGGUAUAAAAACUCAUAUUGAUAAAAACCAAACUUUACUUAACGUUACAGAAGUCCAAAUGAUUUUAUCAAGAUAAUAUGUGAUUUAAUAUGUGAAUCUAUAAUAAAGAAUUCUGAGGCUGAGUGUGGUGGCUCAUGUCUGUAAUCCCAGCUCUUUGGGAGACCAAGGCGGGUGGAUCGCCUGACAUUAGGAGUUCGAGACCAACCUGGCCAACAUGGCCAGACCCCAUCUCUACUAAGAAUACAAAAAUUAGCCAGGUUUGGUGGCUCAUGCCUGUAAUCCCAGUUACUCAGGAGGCUGAAGCAUGAGAACUGCUGGAACCUGGAGGCUGCAGUAAGCUGAGAUCGUGCCAUUGCACUCCAGCCUGGGUGACAGAGCAAGACUCAGUCUCAGAAAAAAUAAAUAAAUAAAAAUAAAAAAUAAAAAAAUAAAAUAAAAUUAUGGUCACACAAGUUUCUAGAAAACCAACUUAUUUCUGAGAUAGCCCAGAGGUGACAUACACUGACUAACCCACUGAGAGUAUGUUUUAUUCUUUGCUGAACUACUAGAACCUAGACUAGAGCCUCACAUGCAAAAAGCAUUCAGUAAAAAUUGUGUUUACAGAAAAUUACUAUAGGACAAUAAUUAUGUCUUAUAAGUGGGUUUGUUUAAAGGGUUUAUCAUUUAUUCUAAGUCACACAUUUUACUCAGAAAUACUAGCUUUGUCCUGGAAAGUUCAAUUAAAUAGAGAAAAGGAACAAGAACAUACAUUCAAGCCAAAAUAAGCAAAGCUUUGCCUCAAGAAGGGUUGAUGGAAAAAACAGAAAACAGAAAGCACUACAGUUUAAUGAGUUACAGACUGCUCAGCAGAAAAGACAACAUAGACAUAUAAUACAGGUCUUUCUGCUAAUAUAUUCCUUUCUUUGCUUAAAACUAAGUACAGAUAUUACUUUGGAACCCUUUGAAUGUGGGAAAUUAGUUUCCUCCUCAGCAUUGUCCUCUACUACUUUUCGGAGUAUAAUGUGUAUGACAUUCUCUCAGUAAAAUUUUGAUACACUUGAUAGUUGAAGGUUAAAGAAGAGUAGAAAUCAUCUUAACACCUUACUAAUGGGAAAUUUUUUCAUAGGAAUACACAUAAUUUCCAGAAAGUUACCUUUUUAUAGAGGGCAUCAUGCAUAAUAACACCUUUUGGCUCAAAAUAGAAAUUAUUUUUAAGCUUAUACUUUUGCCAUACGUUAGAGCAACUACUGAUUUAGAUUGUUCUGUUUUACUGUUCUAGAAUCAUUCCACACUUGCCUCUUGGCAUCCAUAAUCAGAAAAGUAAAUCAAGAAAUAAACUAUAAACUGAUCAAUGUUUUAUUAUUUUCCUUAUAGCCUUUUAUUUUACCAUGAGGAGUUUCUGUAUGUAAGGCACUUUAGAAUAUGAAUGAUUUUCAUGGCAUACACAUAAGGGACUAUUAAAAACAACUGACAUGUUUUUGGUAAAGUAUUUGACUGUUUAUUCUUCAUGUAACUGAAAAUAUUCAGCAUUGAAAGAGUUUGCAUUUCAUGAUGGCUACAAAGUUGAAAUUUACAUUCUGGUUUCUUAAAGGCAGGAACUACAUUCUGCAAAGGGCAAAUUUCAAAAGACAAAACUUAAUCCUUAUACUAGCAAAAGUUUGAUUAGAUAAGUUCUACAUACUUAGCUGCUUAUAUAAAUACAGGUGGCUGAGGCUGAAAAUGAAUGCCCCAGGAAGAAGUAAAUCAAUUUUACAAAAAUUAUCAAAUGGCAUAAUGAUGGGCACACAAUGCCCUCCACCCACAGCUGUUCUUGCAUUUCUAACAUAAAAGGCAGCACAAGACAGAAGGGAAACACUGACAAAUAGAUUGGUUCUGCCAUUUCCUUAGCAUUAUGUGCCCUGUCACUUUUUGAAUUUCUUAGAUAAGAUGCAAUUUCUCUUUAGUUUUUAAUGCCCUUUUAGAUAUUUUUUGUUACAGGAUUCGUUACCAUGAAUCCAAGGGACUUUAUUUUGGCACUUUGACAGAAAGGAUUGGACUGCUUAAACAAGAACUAAUAAAUAGCUUCCAUUUCCUACAUGAAAAAAGUAAUACAUGUUUAUGCUGUUUCCUGGAUUGCACAUGUAACUGGCAGCAAGAAACACCCUCGGAAUAGUAAUCAUAAAAUAUCCUUGUUUAUUCCAAAGCAUAACUAUAGAAAUGUGUGACAAUCUGAAUUUCUUUUGUAUGCCAAAAUAUGCUGAGAAAGUACUAAUGAAUGCUGUGCCAUUCUAAUUUUGUAUUAAUGAAAUAAUUUAUUAUUUUUUCAGUUUUAAUUAAAAUUGGCUUUGCAUCAAACUGUGCUUAUCACAUUGAUCACAUGAUAAAAAGGGAAUUUUGUCAUUUAUCAAUAAAAAUGAUUAUGUGUAUUAUCU